AACGAACGCUGGCGGCAUGCCUAACACAUGCAAGUCGAACGAGACCUUCGGGUCUAGUGGCGCACGGGUGCGUAACGCGUGGGAAUCUGCCCUUGGGUUCGGAAUAACAGCGAGAAAUUGCUGCUAAUACCGGAUGAUGACGUAAGUCCAAAGAUUUAUCGCCCAAGGAUGAGCCCGCGUAGGAUUAGCUAGUUGGUGAGGUAAAGGCUCACCAAGGCGACGAUCCUUAGCUGGUCUGAGAGGAUGAUCAGCCACACUGGGACUGAGACACGGCCCAGACUCCUACGGGAGGCAGCAGUGGGGAAUAUUGGACAAUGGGCGAAAGCCUGAUCCAGCAAUGCCGCGUGAGUGAUGAAGGCCUUAGGGUUGUAAAGCUCUUUUACCCGGGAUGAUAAUGACAGUACCGGGAGAAUGAGCUCCGGCUAACUCCGUGCCAGCAGCCGCGGUAAU
rnacentral:rRNA from 1 species